rnacentral:rRNA from 1 species
GACGAACGCUGGCGGCGUGCUUAACACAUGCAAGUCGAACGGUGAAGCGAGUGCUUGCACUCGUGGAUCAGUGGCGAACGGGUGAGUAACACGUGAGUAACCUGCCCAUCACUCUGGGAUAAGCACUGGAAACGGUGUCUAAUACUGGAUACGACCAACCCUUGCAUGGGGUGUUGGUGGAAAGAUUUCUCGGUGAUGGAUGGACUCGCGGCCUAUCAGCUUGUUGGCGGGGUAAUGGCCCACCAAGGCGACGACGGGUAGCCGGCCUGAGAGGGUGACCGGCCACACUGGGACUGAGACACGGCCCAGACUCCUACGGGAGGCAGAAGUGGGGAAUAUUGCACAAUGGGCGAAAGCCUGAUGCAGCGACGCCGCGUGAGGGAUGACGGCCUUCGGGUUGUAAACCUCUUUCAGCAGGGAAGAAGCGAAAGUGACGGUACCUGCAGAAGAAGCACCGGCUAACUACGUG